AUGCAAAAAGCGAAACCCAAACACAAGAAGAACAGCAACAGCCGUGUUUUUAUGUGGACAGACUGGCACACGGCUGAUCCGCAGUGCAAAAAAGCGACCUCCCGACGCACGGGGAGGAGGCGAGCAACUUCUCCCCGGGUGGUGGAAGGGGUUACGCCGAACCCACGGCUGCCUCCUGCCUGCGCAGCUCCCCRGCUGAGAAAUCAAGCUUGGCGACGCUGGGUCUGCUCUCGUUUUGCAUGGGAAACAGGCUGUUUUUCAGAGCCCAGCAUAGCCAAGAGCCUUGGGAAUUCCCAGCACUUUAGUCUUUAUAUCACCUUCUACGCGUACAAAAGGCGAAGCGAUAAUUUGCCGGAUGCAGAACGCGGCUCUUCAGCCGCCGUUUUGUUUGCUCAGAUCAGCUUGCGGCUGCGCUGCUUCCCGGCUAAUGCCCAGCUCAAACAGCCUCGCACAGGGAAAGGUCUCGGGCUCUGUAUAUUAAUUCCCGGCUUUUGCACGGGCUCCCGCACAGUAAUUUCCGCAAGCCCAAGUCAACACGAGCAAAGCUCCGUCAAGCGACGCGUGCCGAAAGAGCAAGGCGAGAAGCAAAGCUGCCAACUGUUGGUAUGCCGGAAAGUGUCAGAAAAGAGCCGAUUCCCACCAAGUGCUGCCCUCGACCGCCCCGAGCAUUACAGCUCUGCUUUGACCACCCAACUUCCCGCAAGCCAAGCGGGAACCUCCUCGAGGGGCUGCGCGUGCUGCAAAGCCCAGUGCCGGCAGCGGGGCCGAGGAGCAGAACGCCCGCGGUGGGCUUCCUCCGACGUAACGACCCCCGCGCGGCCGCUUCCCCCCCAAAAGGCAGACCCGCGCGGGAGAAAAAUCGGGAUUUUUCCCGCUCCCGGCCUCCCGGGGGACGAGCCCGCGCAGCCUCACCUGGCGCAGGUGCCGCAGCAGCUCGGUGGCCUCCUCCUGCUUGCCCUGCUUAGCCAGCAGCAGCAUGUCCUGGAUGAGGCAGACGCGCCGGUGGUAGGGGGGCAGGCUGCCGCCCCCCCGGCCGAACUUCUCGCUGGACUUGGCCACCAGGGAGGCGAGGAAGUCGCCCCGGUCGCGGGGGGGCAGCCG
rnacentral:lncRNA from 1 species